AGCCCGACCCUCCUCCUGACUCCACACAGCAAAGGUCCACGGUCAGCCCGACCCUCCUCCUGACUCCACACAGCAAAGGUCCAAGGCUGCUAAGUAAGAAGAUCCACCUCCAAAAUCCCGAAGAGCUAGCGUAACCAACAGAUACACAGAUCACAACAAUAAAAUCCAAGAAAUACAAAGUCAGGACGACACAAGUACCCUAAAAGACCAUGAUCCUCAACAAUGGAAAGUAAAAUAAGUAAAGUG